ensembl:lncRNA
CGUGUCUUCAGAGGAGGAACCGGAAGAGGCAGGCAGGCCGAAGAGGAGGAGCCGGAAGAGGAAGAGAAGGAGGAGCGGGCGUCCGCAAGGUGGAUUCUUUACCACUGAGCCACUUGGGAAUCCCUGGAAGGCAACUGUGCUCACCGCUAUACCAUCAACAUGCUGAUUUUGGGGCUUGGAUCAUCAUAGUGGGUGCUCAGUGAGUAUGUGUUCCAAGAACAAAGAACAGGGACCCAAAUCAUACCUUUGACUCCAGAUCCUAUUUUCCCUACCACAUUGCAUGGGCUAGUUGUGCCUUUCCAAAGUCAUUGCCAUGUUUUCCUCCAGUUCAUUUUGGCCACAUCAUGCUGUUAUUUGUUCUCUGUCCAACUGGCAGGUUCACUGGCUCACUCCCCAGGCAGGCAGGGCCACAGCCACAGCUGUUCAGGGACCUUCCUCUGGGAUAGGGUGAUGACCUCCUUGAAACAGGUCUACAUUCCCUGGUCAGCCUUCCACUAAAUAGAGUCUCUUAUCUGUUGUGGGCAGAAGACCAGGGACGGGCAUGGGCAGGCAUGGUCUCCUCCACCUUAUCUGAGCUCUUGUUUUUGCCUCUGCCUCCACCUAGGACUGGAGCCAACAGUGAUGAUCUGUAGCGGGACCCCAGACCCCCUGCCUCGCCUGAGGUCAGCGUCCGUUGGUGCAGCUGUUGCUGUUAAUGCCAGAUGCCAUCUGGCAGGGGCGCUCCCAUCCUGACUGUUUUCAUUUCUGUUUUUCUGUAUCUUCAGUGCUUUAUCUUCCAGGGCCUCUUUGUUCAGUCGCUAAGUCACGUCCAACUCUUUGUGACGCCGUGGAUUGCAGCUCACCAGGCUUCCCUCUCCUUCUAAUUAACCCUGUUUAGCAUUUCCACAGCAUUUUCUAGAAGGUCAAUUUCCCUGAUGAAUCCACAUCCUGAAUUCCAAAGGAGGACCAAUCCUGUUUAUCCUCACUCCAUAGUCACUGCACCUCCAUUGACCUCAGGCUUCUCUGCUGAGAAAUGGGAAGAAGGAGGCCUUCCUCCUAGAGGGCUGUGAGGUUGCAAGAAGGAUGGAGCGCAGGGUCUGGCACGUUGUUAGUGCCUGAUGAUGAAGGUGUCUUCUUCCACCUGCAGGGUGAGAACCUGGGAGAGGGUGGCACUCACAGUGGGCUGCAGAGGGGCUGGAGAGGGGCUUCCCAGCCCUGUGGGGGGUCCACCUGCUCAGCCAGAGCUGACCUGUCCUGGCUCUGGUUCAGUUACGAGGCAGGCUCAGGGCUCAGAUGUGAGGGGAGGAGAAGGAAGCUAGGACUGGCAGUCUGAGCUAGAGUACAGCUUCUGCCCUCUUACUUACGUACUGCAGGGUUUUUCAACCUGUGGUAUGUGAGCCACCUGUGGGUUUGAGAAUUCAAUUUAGUGGGUUGUGAAAGUCGCUCAAUCGUGUCCGACUCUUUGCGACCCCAUGGACUAUACAGUCCACGGAAUUCUCCAGGCCAGAAUACUGGAGUGGGUAGCUGUUCCCUUCUCCAGGGGAUCUUCCCAGCCCAGGGAUAGAACCCAGUCUCCCAUAUUGCAGAUGGAUUCUUUACCAUCUGAGCCACCAGGGAAGUGGGUUGUGAUCAGCUUUUAAAAAAACAAUCAUGGGACUUCGCUGGAGGUCCAGUGGUUAAGACUCCUCACUUCCACUGCAGGGGGUGCAGGUUCAGCUCCUGGUCUGGGAACUAAGAUCUCAUAUGCUAUGUGGCACAGCCAAAAAAUAAUAAAAGAAAAUCAGACUUUUUCAGAGUACAUUGCAUAUUUUAAGUAUUAUUUUGUGAAAUAUUUCUUGGUGUUAUGUCGACAUAUCUUUGUGUCCUAGGUUGUGAUAAAGAAUGUAUUUCUUACUGUGGAUCAUGGUCAAGGGGUUUGAAAGCUACCGAUCUAUUGAAGAGUUACCAAACAUCUGACACUGUUCUGAACACCCUUUAUGUAUUAAUUCAUUUACCCUACAACCCUGUAAGGUUGUUACUGUUACAGCCCUUGUCUUAGAGAUAGAGAAAAUGAGUCACAUAGAGGUUAGGUAUCUUGUCCAGAGUCAUCCAUAUAGUAGGAGGUGGAAGCUUAAAGGUGAUGUACUUCCCCUAGCAAGGAUUUAAUUUAACCUGAGACAUUUAAUUUAACCUCUUCCCCACCCACCCCUAGGACCAGCCAGCCAAUCUAGGGCACCAGAGGGCAGUGUCAGGCUCAAACCCUUGCAGCUGGUGGUGAGGCAGGUGGGCAGCAGCAGUUUUCAGCCGUGGCUCUAAGGAGAGGCACCCACACGGUGGCAGUAUGGUCUCGCAGCCUCCCCUAGGGCUGGCCACCAUCGCGGGAUCACAGCUACCUCAAGUCUUCAGGGGACAAGGCCGUGGUACAGGUGCCUCUCGGAGACCAUGUGUUUGGGGAUUUCAUGGCUGGAGGGAGGUACCUUAAAAUAAAACACAAAGACAGAGAUGGUGGGUCACAGUCUAAAUUGAUAGUGAGUUUCUCUUCAGGAGGUGUUGCUCCUGUAUCUUUGCUUUUUGUCUUUUGUGUGUUUUUUAAAGCACUGUUGCAGAACAAUUAGAAUUGUGACUUAUGUUUUGCAAUUCAGGAAGCUGGUUUCAUGUGAUUCAUGUUCUGUCACGUUUCCAACAAUUACACAAUGUCCCCUCACCCCUUUCUGAAUAUGAAGACGAGCCUGAAACAGUGACAGUACCCUUAACUCCUAGACUGGCAGGAGCGCCCUCCUGGGACGGAGAGAAACUGAGGUCCUGAAAGGAUAAAUAACUUACCCUAGAUCAUGAAUCAAGCAAAGGGUAGGGCUGGGACUCACCCAGGCAGACUGGCCCCAGGAGGUGUGUGCGUAGCCCUCUAGUUCUACUAUGUAUUUCAUAUUAUCUUUAAAUAAAACAUAGUCUGUAAAUACUCUUUGA